AUGGGCCGACGGCAGCGUCUACGUCGGCUUCUGGACACGAGAAGGCCUGAGCGGCAUUGUCCAGCAGAAGGGCGUCUACCAGUACCACCCGUCUCCGGCGGCGUCGUCCCCGACAGCGCGCGACCCCCGCGAUGGCUUCACGAGGGAACUGCCGGGGUUCACGUCGGCGCCACCGAGUCCACGCCGCUGCAGAGGCCGCUCAACAGUUCGGGUAACCGGACGGCCAAUGUGCGGGCGAGCUCCGUGUCCGGGAUGAGCAAUUGCUCCAUCGGCGACCCGAAGUACGACAAGAUUUGCAUCUGGGAGUCGGACGACGACAUCACCUGUGACAUUGUGGACGGGGCCGCUCUGUUGGACGACGCGCGGAGGAGCGUGAGGACGGAGGACGGCGGGGAGAGCGCGGCGCUUCUGCCUCCGCCGUCCCAGGCGCCGCGCAUUGCCAAGUCAAGUGGGUGUCCCCGUCGCUGA
rnacentral:rRNA from 1 species